CGGACGGGGGAGUGAUGUCUGGGAAACGUGCCUGAUGGAGGGGGAUAACUACUGGAAACGGUAGCUAAUACCGCAUAACGUCGCAAGACCAAAGAGGGGGACCGUUCGGGCCUCUUGCCAUCGGAUGUGCCCAGAUGGGAUUAGCUAGUAGGUGGGGUAACGGCUCACCUAGGCGACGAUCCCUAGCUGGUCUGAGAGGAUGACCAGCCACACUGGAACUGAGACACGGUCCAG
rnacentral:rRNA from 1 species